GGAGCUAUAGCUCAGUUGGUUAGAGCGCAGGUCUCAUACCACUUUACGUAUGAUUCUCCCGAAUAACAAAAACGGGAGGAGUAAUCCUGAGGUCGAGAGUUCGAAUCUCCCUAGCUUCA